GUCUCUUCCCAUCUCUACGAACGACUAGCCUCCGCGCGACGGGUCCCCCACGAGUCCGCCCUAUCAACUGUCGACGGCCCGGUAAGUGCCGACCGUGAUG